UACGUAGGGUGCGAGCGUUGUCCGGAAUUAUUGGGCGUAAAGAGCUCGUAGGCGGUUUGUCGCGUCGACUGUGAAAACCUGGGGCUUAACUCUGGGCCUGCAGUCGAUACGGGCAGACUUGAGUUCGGUAGGGGAGACUGGAAUUCCUGGUGUAGCGGUGAAAUGCGUAGAUAUCGGGAGGAACAUCAGUGGCGAAGGCGGCUGCCUGGCCCAAUACUGACACUCAGGUGCGACAGCGUGGGGAGCAAACAGG
rnacentral:rRNA from 1 species